rfam:Cicer arietinum chromosome Ca3, whole genome shotgun sequence.
UUGCCUUAAACUAAUGAGUAAGGAAAACAAAGCGAGCGGUGAGAGCCGGUCGCCGCAUCCAUGAAUUGGUGCAAGAAUUUAUGGAGGGGUGAUGGGCUCUUCAUGUGUUGAUGUUGCUUACUUUGCAGAACUCACAUGAGUGGGCCUCCCAAUCCC